UGGGGAAUAUUGGACAAUGGGCGAAAGCCUGAUCCAGCCAUGCCGCGUGUGUGAAGAAGGCCUUAUGGUUGUAAAGCACUUUAAGCGAGGAGGAGUGUACUGGUAUUAAUACUACCAGCUACUGGACGUUACUCGCAGAAUAAGCACCGGCUAACUCUGUGCCAGCAGCCGCGGUAAUACAGAGGGUGCAAGCGUUAAUCGGAAUUACUGGGCGUAAAGCGCGCGUAGGUGGUUCGUUAAGUUGAAUGUGAAAGCCCCGGGCUCAACCUGGGAACUGCAUCCAAAACUGGCGAGCUAGAGUAGGGCAGAGGGUGGUGGAAUUUCCUGUGUAGCGGUGAAAUGCGUAGAUAUAGGAAGGAACACCAGUGGCGAAGGCGACCACCUGGGCUCAUACUGACACUGAGGUGCGAAAGCGUGGGGAGCAAACAGG
rnacentral:rRNA from 1 species